GACGAACGCUGGCGGCGUGCCUAAUACAUGCAAGUUGAGCGCUGAAGGUUGGUACUUGUACCAACUGGAUGAGCAGCGAACGGGUGAGUAACGCGUGGGGAAUCUGCCUUUGAGCGGGGGACAACAUUUGGAAACGAAUGCUAAUACCGCAUAAAAACUUUAAACACAAGUUUUAAGUUUGAAAGAUGCAAUUGCAUCACUCAAAGAUGAUCCCGCGUUGUAUUAGCUAGUUGGUGAGGUAAAGGCUCACCAAGGCGAUGAUACAUAGCCGACCUGAGAGGGUGGUCGGCCACAUUGGGACUGAGACACGGCCCAAACGCCUACGGGAGGCAGCAGUAGGGAAUCUUCGGCAAUGGACGAAAGUCUGACCGAGCAACGCCGCGUGAGUGAAGAAGGUUUUCGGAUCGUAAAACUCUGUUGGUAGAGAAGAACGUUGGUGAGAGUGGAAAGCUCAUCAAGUGACGGUAACUACCCAGAAAGGGACGGCUAACUACGUG
rnacentral:rRNA from 1 species